rnacentral:lncRNA from 1 species
GCGAGUACGGAACUGGAGGCAAGCACUCUAACGCACAGGGACGUCACGCAAGGGGACAGCGGAGAAGAGAAGUCUGACAAUGGGGUCCCAGAUGCAGCGAUCGCUCCCAUGUUGGGCAGAGAGGAGGAAGAUGAGGAUUUUCAGGGCCCUGCAGCCAAGGUGGCACGUCUGGAUGAUUCCGCGCCAGUCUGUGAUGUUUGUUUGGGGGACGGAGCAGAGGAAGCGAAUCUGGCGGGAGAGCAGGGAACGGAACCAGAAGCAGAGACUGAGGAACCUACUGAGCACUUGGAAGAAUCCUAUUGCUCCUCCCAGUUUGACUUUUCCUGUCAGCCCUGGGCACUCGCGGGAGCUUGGCAUGAAUAUUCAGCGCUGCCCGAGAACUUCCUGAAAGGCUGCAAAUGGGCCCCUGACGGUACCUGCCUGCUGACCAACAGCGAUGACAACAUCCUGCGGAUAUAUAACCUGCCCUCUGAGCUGUACACAGACAACUGGGAGAUAGCGGAGGAAAUGGUACUGUAAGGGGGCGGGGCUAAAUGCAUUGGGAUGAUGCCGGAUAAUGAGCCUCUCUCUGUCUGUCAUGCACAGCUGCCGGUUCUGCGUAUGGCCGAAGGGGACACCAUAUAUGACUAUUGCUGGUACCCCAAUAUGACUUCCUCCGAUCCCGCAACCUGCUUUGUGGCGAGCAGCUGCAAGGACAACCCGAUCCACGUGUGGGACGCCUUCCACGGGCAGCUGAAAGCAUCGUACCGGCCGUACAACCACUUGGAUGAGCUGACGGCCGCGCACUCUCUCAGCUUCACUCCGGACGGCGCUCAGCUCUUCUCCGGCUUCGACAAGAUGAUCCGGGUGUUUGAGACGUCUCGGCCUGGGAGGGAGUGCGAGAGUCGCCCUACGUUCCAUAAGAAGCAGGGCCAGGCCGGGAUCAUCUCCUGCAUCGCAUUCAGCCCCACGCAGGAUAUUUACGCCUGCGGCUCCUACUCCCGCUCUCUGGGCUUGUACUCCCGGCAGGAAGGGGUCACCCUGGCAAUUCUGCAAGGGCAUCAGGGUGGCAUCACCCACCUGGGCUUCUCUCCUGAUGGCAACUGUGUCUUCUCUGGGGGGCGAAAGGACCCUGAGAUCUUGGGUUGGGACAUCCGUUACCCUGGUAACGUUCUCUUCACCUUGAGGCGCAACGUUGCCACAAACCAGCGGAUUUACUUUGAUGUCGAUGUUUCCGGCCGGUACCUGCUGAGUGGGGACACACAGGGGCUGGUAACGGCCUGGGAUGUAUCGGCCCAGUCUGGGGAGGAGUCUCCGGCUCCCGUCCUGCAGUUCCCGGCCCAGAAGGACUGCGUCAAUGGCAUUAGCCUGCACCCCUCCAUGCCGCUCCUGGCGACCAGCUCCGGCCAGAGGAAGUUCCCUGAGUUGGAGGACAGCGGCGACGAGACGGACGCACCCCCCCCUGGCGUUUCCGCGGAGAACUCCCUGCAGCUCUGGUGGUGUGGGGGGGCGGCACGUUAGCCACUGGGGCCGAGCGGCCACUUGUAUAUUUGUAUAUAAACCCUCUGUUGUAUCAGAAUUUUAUAAAAUACACUUGUGUGGGCGGGGCCUUUCCUACAGGCGGAGCUGCCAUACUGGGCGCUUGGGGAUAAUCUGCUGUAAGUGACUUGGGCAUUAAAGGGGACAUUAAGCCUUAAUAAAAACCUGAAACUGAAAAAAAAAAAAAAA